UACAGAGGGGGCAAGCGUUGUUCGGAAUUACUGGGCGUAAAGGGCGCGUAGGCGGCCUUCUAAGUCGAACGUGAAAUCCCCGGGCUCAACCCGGGAACUGCGUCCGAUACUGGCAGGCUUGAAUCCGGGAGAGGGAUGUGGAAUUCCAGGUGUAGCGGUGAAAUGCGUAGAUAUCUGGAGGAACACCGGUGGCGAAGGCGGCAUCCUGGACCGGCAUUGACGCUGAGGCGCGAAAGCUAGGGGAGCAAACGGG
rnacentral:rRNA from 1 species